UGCAAGUAAAACUUUUUAAUUAAAAACAUAUUUAUUUUGGGGUAUGGUGCUAUCAUUGUUUAACAAAUAACUCUAAUUGAUGCAUCCCUUCUUGAGAAAAGGCAAUAACUAGUGGGUUGUGCAGCAGAAAGGGGCAAUAAUGACCGAAGCAUCUCCUUAUUUCUGUGCUCUCUGAUACAAAACACUUAGAGAGGAGGGGGCAUUAGAAAGGGGGGAAUGGGAAAGACAGUGAUUCAACCCCCCGCAUUGAGCCCAGUUGGUGGAAGAGGCUGCUUCUUGCCCUUGAGGUACAAAUCAGCUAUCUCAUGAGCAGAGCACGUUGCUCAGGUUCCACAGACUGUACCAGAAACUUCUUCUCUGGGAAGUCCAGACAAUAUGGUGAAAAAAGGGAAAAUAUUUUUACAGCCUUCUUGCGGAUUGCAAACAAGUAUUUCCGUGGGUGGUGGUGAGCGUUGGGUCAGCAGGUUGUCACGGAGCACGUCCUUGAUGUAACGGUGAUGUAAAUUAACAAGUACGUGAGGCAGGAGCUGGUGAGGCGGAGGGAGGGGGCCGUGCUUCCCCACGUUGCGCAGGGUGCUGCAACCACCCCGCAUCAACUUCUUCAAGCUGGCAUGUUUUAUGCCUCUCCCAGGAGCACGUCUGCCCCUGCAGAACUAAAUGACCCAUUCAAGGUUUCUCAAGAAGCGUAUGAAUAUCUAGUGCUGAAUAACUGAAAGCCUUCCUAUCUCUUAGCCAAUUUCCUUAACUACAAAGCUGUCCUUCCUGUGUGAUGCCUCGCUUUAAAGCGAAUCCUUGACCACAGUCACACUCUCCUCUGCUGUGCCAUUAGCCAAGCCCACUGUUUCCCUGUUGCCAGUAAACACUUGAUUGCAUUUAUCACAUUAUGAUAUUUUUGCCUCCUUGGCCAGCCUCUGAGGGCAGCAACUCUUCAAAUUGCUCAGCUUGCAGCAGAGCCACAACAGAAUGACCUCUGCUGCUCUUGCCGGUCCUGUUUCUUGCUUUCUGAGGUGCGGAUGGAAAUCUGACCUUCACCUUGGAGCGAUUUCCCAUCCAUCAUCAAGACGAAUAGCUGUCGAUCCUCCCUGCGCUGCUCGGAGAGGUGCCUCACAAGUGACUCCGCGCACACUUCCCAGCUGCGCUGGCAGGACGGCUCCUCUGCGCUGCUCGCACUGGGGAAAAGCCAAGGCGAGCCUGACCUCCUUAAGGGCCAGAAUAUGCCAGAGGAGGCAAGGCAGAUGAUCUGCUGCAUAUGGGGGCAGUUUACGGUAACUGAAGCUGCAUUUUGUCUCGGGACUCCUGGAAUCCAUGAGUUUCAUGGGUUUUGUUUAAAAAGAAACUAACAAAAUAUAAUUAGUGUUUAACACAGAGUCGUGCCCAGCGGCCCCAUUCAGGAUCAGGAGCCCUUUGUGCCAGCUAAGAGCGUGGCAAACGCACUGGGAGAAGCAGGCUCUGUGGUGAGCAGCUCGCUAUCCGAUUCCUCAUGUUUUUAAUGGUUUCUUCUGUGGGAGGUGGAUUUAAUAGUGAGUAGUAGACCAGUGUGACCUUGAGAGAUGUCAGCUUGAAACCAAUGGGAGUUUUCGGGAGAGAGCGGGGAUUCUGGGAACGCGAAAAUUUAGAGGAUUUGCAAUACCCAGGCGACACAAACCAGUAUUUACAAACAUUUACAAAUAGGCUGCUGACGGAUUCAAUCGCGUUUGCAUGCAGCCACGUCUGCACUAAUAGGCUUCCCGUGACUGAUGUAUUCUCUGUGUUUCUCAUUCGACUUCUGUUUUCUGAGCAGUCAGAGUUCAUAUUCAAAAGCUUUCCUCUGCCACCAUGAAAGCUAGGCAGUGGUGUUAAUAGAGGCUGGGAUUCUCUUGUAAUGUCUUCAGGUGUAAAGAAAACAGCUUGUUCACCCAGAGGCGCUCAGUGCUUGCUAUUCUUUAAUUCUGUUUGAAAAGUUACUCCCUGACACCAGGAGCAGAAGCCACACCACAAAUUACAGGGAGGGAAAAAAAGCAUGAUUGUUGCACACGACGUCUCCUCCCUGCCUUUGAAAUUUGAGAGCUGAAUAAUUCGAAAAAGGGACCGGGCUUCUUUUAAAAAUCAAAGCGGAGCAGACGCCUGUUUUCUGUUUGCGUUUCAGUCUGCAAUAAUUGUCCCCGCGAGCUGGGCUGCUGGUGCCAGAGGGAGAAGCUACCACAGGGGCAGCAUUGCCAAGGAAGCAAUAC
ensembl:lncRNA